rnacentral:rRNA from 1 species
UGACUGUACCCUACCUGCUAGACCUGAUAUUUCCGUGCCAACAACCACCGUAUAACUCCGGGGGUUAGCGUUGUUUAAUAAUUACUGGUGCUAGCGUUAAUCGAAAUUACUGGGCGUAUUGGGGGUGAAAUCCCUUGGUUCAACCCUGGAACUGCCUCCGGACUCCUGGUGUUAAGUUCAUUUGAAACUGGUGGACUUCCGUCUGGAAAAGGGAAAUGCAAUUACAUGUGUAGGAACGAAAUGGGUAAAUAUCUGUAAGAACAUCAAUGCUGAAGGUGACUCCCUGAACUGUGACUGACACUCAUGUUUAAAUGCCCGGGUAGUCCACACGAUUAAAUAUCCUGGCCAUCCACACCGUAAACUAUUGCUACUAGACGCGUCUAACUUAUUAACCUUUCCACCUGAGCUAACCCGCUAAAUAAUCCACCUGCGGAGGACUUGACCGAGGUUAAAACUCAAAUGAAUUGACGG